rnacentral:rRNA from 1 species
UACGUAGGGACCAAGCGUUGUUCGGAUUUACUGGGCGUAAAGGGCGCGUAGGCGGUCGUGACAAGUCACUUGUGAAAUCUCCGGGCUUAACUCGGAACGGUCAAGUGAUACUGUCGGACUAGAGUACAGAAGGGGCAACUGGAAUUCUCGGUGUAGCGGUGAAAUGCGUAGAUAUCGAGAGGAACACCUGCGGCGAAGGCGGGUUGCUGGGCUGAUACUGACGCUGAGGCGCGAAAAGCCAGGGGAGCGAACGGG